UACAGAGGGGGCAAGCGUUGUUCGGAAUUACUGGGCGUAAAGGGCGCGUAGGCGGCCUGCUAAGUCGAACGUGAAAUCCCCGAGCUCAACUCGGGAACUGCGUCCGAUACUGGCAGGCUUGAAUCCGGGAGAGGGAUGCGGAAUUCCAGGUGUAGCGGUGGAAUGCGCAGAUAUCAGGAAGAACACCAAUGGCGAAGGCAGCUCUCUGGGACGGUACUGACGCUGAGACGCGAAAGCGUGGGGAGCGAACAGG
rnacentral:rRNA from 1 species